rnacentral:tRNA from 17 species
GGGCCCGUAGCUCAGCUGGAUAGAGCAGCAGCCUUCUAAGCUGCUGGUCACAGGUUCGAAUCCUGUCGGGCUCGCCA